UACGUAGGGUGCAAGCGUUGUCCGGAAUUAUUGGGCGUAAAGAGCUCGUAGGCGGUGUGUCGCGUCGGCCGUGAAAACCUGCAGCUUAACUGUGGGCUUGCGGUCGAUACGGGCAUCACUGGAGUUCGGCAGGGGAGACUGGAAUUCCUGGUGUAGCGGUGAAAUGCGCAGAGAUCGGAAAGAACACCAACGGCGAAAGCACUCUGCUGGGCCGACACUGACACUGAGAGACGAAAGCUAGGGGAGCGAAUGGG
rnacentral:rRNA from 1 species